rnacentral:rRNA from 1 species
CUUAAAUUGAAGAGUUUGAUCAUGGCUCAGAUUGAACGCUGGCGGCAGGCCUAACACAUGCAAGUCGAGCGGUAACAGGAAGAAAGCUUGCUUUCUUUGCUGACGAGCGGCGGACGGGUGAGUAAUGCCUGGGAAUAUGCCUUAACGUGGGGGAUAACUAUUGGAAACGAUAGCUAAUACCGCAUGAUGCCUACGGGCCAAAGAGGGGGACCUUCGGGCCUCUCGCGUUAAGAUUAGCCCAGGUGGGAUUAGCUAGUUGGUGAGGUAAUGGCUCACCAAGGCGACGAUCCCUAGCUGGUCUGAGAGGAUGAUCAGCCACACUGGAACUGAGACACGGUCCAGACUCCUACGGGAGGCAGCAGUGGGGAAUAUUGCACAAUGGGCGCAAGCCUGAUGCAGCCAUGCCGCGUGUAUGAAGAAGGCCUUCGGGUUGUAAAGUACUUUCAGUCGUGAGGAAGGCAUUUGCGUUAAUAGCGUAGGUGUUUGACGUUAGCGACAGAAGAAGCACCGGCUAACUCCGUGCCAGCAGCCGCGGUAAUACGGAGGGUGCGAGCGUUAAUCGGAAUUACUGGGCGUAAAGCGCAUGCAGGUGGUUCGUUAAGUCAGAUGUGAAAGCCCGGGGCUCAACCUCGGAAUUGCAUUUGAAACUGGCGGACUAGAGUGCUGUAGAGGGGGGUAGAAUUUCAGGUGUAGCGGUGAAAUGCGUAGAGAUCUGAAGGAAUACCGGUGGCGAAGGCGGCCCCCUGGACAGACACUGACACUCAGAUGCGAAAGCGUGGGGAGCAAACAGGAUUAGAUACCCUGGUAGUCCACGCCGUAAACGAUGUCUACUUGGAGGUUGUGGCCUUGAGCCGUGGCUUUCGGAGCUAACGCGUUAAGUAGACCGCCUGGGGAGUACGGUCGCAAGAUUAAAACUCAAAUGAAUUGACGGGGGCCCGCACAAGCGGUGGAGCAUGUGGUUUAAUUCGAUGCAACGCGAAGAACCUUACCUACUCUUGACAUCUAGAGAAGCCAGCGGAGACGCAGGUGUGCCUUCGGG